rnacentral:lncRNA from 1 species
AAUAAAUAUAAUCGAGGUGUGAAUAAUUCAUAGAAAUAAACAAGGGAAAUACCUUGUUAAAACCCGAAAUAGGAUAGAAAGUCAGGCUAGGCCCCUUUGGAUCACAAGUUUUGUUUCAUGCUUCUGACAACCGACGUUCAUUAACAUAAAACUAUAAAUUUUAAAUUGAAGCUCAAAUGAAGUCAUCUUAAGUUGAGAAAACAAAAGAUGUAUAAGAGUAAUUGCUACAGCGGAAGUCUAACAUAGGAAUUUAUCUCUAGCCUCAGCUCCGUCCCGUCAGCACCGGCCAGCCAACCUGAAAACAUUUGAAAGUAUUUUUGGGCUAAGUACUAAUGUACUUAGUGGGCAUGCAUUUUCUUAAACAUUUCAUAUUUUUGUAAAGACAGUUUAUCCAAUCAUACUUGACAUGACUUAGAAGGUUUUAAAUUGAAAGAACUUCUAAGCAUGUUAAAACAUUUUUCAUUUGUGCGCACAUGUCACACUCCCUUUCCGUUACUCGCUGUGAUCCCGG